UACGUAGGUCCCGAGCGUUGUCCGGAUUUAUUGGGCGUAAAGCGAGCGCAGGUGGUUUAAUAAGUCUGAUGUAAAAGGCAGUGGCUCAACCAUUGUGUGCAUUGGAAACUGUUAGACUUGAGUGCAGUAGAGGAGAGUGGAAUUCCAUGUGUAGCGGUGAAAUGCGUAGAUAUAUGGAGGAACACCAGUGGCGAAGGCGACUUUCUGGUCUGUAACUGACGCCGAUGUGCGAAAGCGUGGGGAUCAAACAGG
rnacentral:rRNA from 1 species